rnacentral:rRNA from 1 species
GAUGAACGCUGGCGGCGUGCUUAACACAUGCAAGUCGAACGGAGUUAUCAAUGAAGCCUAGCGAUUUGAUAACUUAGUGGCGGACGGGUGAGUAACGCGUGGGUAACCUGCCUUACACAGGGGGAUAACAGUUAGAAAUGACUGCUAAUACCGCAUAAGCGCACGGAAUCGCAUGAUUUUGUGUGAAAAGAUUUAUCGGUGUAAGAUGGACCCGCGUCUGAUUAGCUAGUUGGUGAGGUAACGGCCCACCAAGGCGACGAUCAGUAGCCGGCCUGAGAGGGUGAACGGCCACAUUGGGACUGAGACACGGCCCAAACUCCUACGGGAGGCAGCAGUAGGGAAUAUUGGACAAUGGGGGAAACCCUGAUCCAGCGACGCCGCGUGAGUGAAGAAGUAUUUCGGUACGUAAAGCUCUAUCAGCAGGGAAGAAAAUGACGGUACCUGACUAAGAAGCCCCGGCUAACUACGUGCCAGCAGCCGCGGUAAUACGUAGGGGGCAAGCGUUAUCCGGAUUUACUGGGUGUAAAGGGAGCGUAGACGGUUUUGCAAGUCUGAAGUGAAAGCUCGGGGCUCAACCCCGGAACUGCUUUGGAAACUGUAAAACUGGAGUGCAGGAGAGGUAAGCGGAAUUCCUAGUGUAGCGGUGAAAUGCGUAGAUAUUAGGAGGAACACCAGAGGCGAAGGCGGCUUACUGGACUGUAACUGACGUUGAGGCUCGAAGGCGUGGGGAGCAAACA